rnacentral:rRNA from 1 species
ACGUAGGGGGCAAGCGUUAUCCGGAAUUACUGGGUGUAAAGGGAGCGUAGGCGGCAUGGUAAGCCAGAUGUGAAAGCCUUGGGCUUAACCGAAGGAUUGCAUUUGGAACUAUCAAGCUAGAGUACAGGAGAGGAAAGCGGAAUUCCUAGUGUAGCGGUGAAAUGCGUAGAUAUUAGGAAGAACACCAGUGGCGAAGGCGGCUUUCUGGACUGAAACUGACGCUGAGGCUCGAAAGCGUGGGGAGCAAACAGG